rnacentral:misc_RNA from 1 species
AACGCACGAGACCUGCGGACCUGCGGAGGGAUCAUUAGUGAACGCCCUCACGGGCUUAUAACUAUUCCAAACCUCUGUGAGCCGUGCCCUUCGGGGCUAUUUUACAAACAUGGUGUAAUGAACGUCAUAUAUCAUAACAAAACAAAACUUUUAACAACGGAUCUCU